GGCCGCCUGGCGAAAUGGUAUCGCGUCUGACUACGAUUGGUACAUAUCAGGAGAUUGCAGGUUCGAGCCCUGCGGUGGUCA